GACGAACGCUGGCGGCGUGCUUAACACAUGCAAGUCGAACGAUGAAGCAAAGAAUUGAAGCUUCGGCAGAAAUUCAUUUCGGAUUAGUGGCAGACGGGUGAGUAACGCGUGAGCAACCUACCUCUUACAAAGGGAUAGCCUCGGGAAAUCGUGAUUAAUACCAUAUAACAUUGCGACGAAGCAUUUCGAUGCAAUCAAAGCUACGGGGGUAAGAGAUGGGCUCGCGUCCCAUUAACCAGAUGGUGAGGUAACGGCUCACCAUCGUGACGAUGGGUAACCGGACUGAGAGGGUGAACGGUCACACUGGAACUGAGGCACGGUCGAGACUCGUACGAGAGGCAGCAGUGGGGAAUAUUGCACAAUGGAGGGAGCGCUGAUGCAGCGAGGCCGCGUGAGUGAUGAAGGAAUUCGUUUCGUAAAACUCUGUUCUAUGGGAAGAAAAGGACUGUACCAUAGGAGAAAGCACCGGCUAAAUACGUG
rnacentral:rRNA from 1 species